CUAAUAAAAGUUUAUUUAUGGGGACAGGCGUGGUGGCUCACACCUGUAAUUCCAGCACUUUGGGAGACUGAGGCGGGCGGAUCAUAAGGUCAGGAGAUGAGACCAUCCUGGCUAACACGGUGAAAGGACUAUGAUUGAUGUUUGACUAGGAAUCAUAAUCCCUGUGGUAGUUACUAUAAUUUUAUUAUUAUAGAAUGUAUAUGCAUUUUCACAUCUUUACAAUAACACCAGUCUUGACCCAGCUGGUUAGCAACCACCAGCCUUGUCUAUUAUUUUAUGAAUGAAGAGAGCAUCAGAUGCAGUGACUUGCCCGAGGUCACCCAGUAGUAGAAGGGCUGUUUGUCAUUUAGCAUUAUGAUCAUUAUUUAUAUUUCAACUAAUUAUUAUUUGAGCCUAUUUUGUGUCAGGCACUGGGGCACUCCACCUCCCAGGUUCAAGUGAUUCUUGUGCCUCAGCCUCAAAGUAGCUGGGAUUGCAGGCAUGUG
rnacentral:lncRNA from 10 species